rnacentral:lncRNA from 1 species
UUGUAAUGUGGCUUAGGUUGCAAGAAAGGGUAUGAUUAAGAGAAUUCAACAAGGUUGCCUAUCCUAAGGGAGCAUUCCCAAAGAUUCAACUCUACACAAUUUCCUUUUCCUUGGUCCCAUCUUUUCUUUUCAAAUCCACACAACCAUGAGCAUUUUUUUUUUUUUUUUUUUUUUAUGCUCUAUGGUUUCAAGGGUGAUUUCUUUUUCUUGUUUCUUUUCAUAUUCUUACCCUUCCAUAGAAACUCACUAUUCCAAGUUCCUAUCAACUCUUCACUUUACUCUCCCCAACUUUAGAUUCCACAACCAGAUUUAUUCAAUAAUGCUCCCUACUUAAAAUAAGCAAAAGGCAAAAUUUUUGCAAACAACUCGGUUUGAGGUUUCAACUGAUACGAAAGAAAUUAGGAUUCAUUUAUUCCACAAAUUUCAAUUGAUUUUACAAUGAUCAAUCAAAUGAAUCCUAAUUAGCUCAAAGGGGGUCAACUAAGGAUUACUCCUCACAAGGUUCGUUGAUUUAAGCGUUUUGGUCAAGUGGUUUUCUCACAAACAAAAUGCCUCUAUCAUAUUCAAAAAUUUCACACAACAUUAGAUUGAUGCAUGAUUUAGCAUGAUAAGAAUGAGUCAAAAUAAUGCUCGGUUUCCCGCUUUUUUUAGUGCACAAUGGAAAGCUUCCUCACAAAUGGUUAAGUCCUAUUUUGAUUCAAACUGACAUAUACUUCAAUGAAUUUAUGAAAUGGAAUUUGCACAAAACAUCAACCUACUCAUGCUAAGUCUAGAAAGCGAUAAAGUGUACCUUGAAAUGCCGACACUAAUUCUUAUCAUCACCACUCGAAGUAUCCUAUGCUUCUUUCUUUGCGAAUAAUUCUUGGUUGCUUUAGGCUUGACUUAAGCGUAAGAACAAUUAAAUAGGACUGUUGGUAAACCAAUUUGAUUAAAAACACACUUAAAUUUCAAAAA